rnacentral:lncRNA from 1 species
UCGUUCUUAUGUUUUACUGUUACACCACUGUCCAAGGUUAGGGGAGGUUUGGGAUCCCGUUUGUAUGUUAAACCUGCCACAUUUUCUAUGUAUGUGCCUGUCCCAAGUCAGGAGCCUGAUAAUUUAGUGGUUACCGUUUGCUUAUCAUAACUGUUACAUAUUUGUUUUUGGUUUCAUUUGUUUUGUGCAUAGAUUAGGCUGUUGGUUAUCUCGUUUGAAUCGUUUUAAAUUGUUAUUUCGGGGCCUUUUAUAACUGACAAUGCGGUUUUGCUCAUUGUUGAAGUCGUACGGUGACCUAUACAUGUAGUUGUUAAUUUCUGUGUCAUUUUGGUCUUCUGUAGAGAUUUGUCCCAUUGUCAACCAUACCACAUCUUCUUAUUUAUAAUAAAUGCAUAAUGCAAUAAAAUGACUAAAACCACUUAACUCCUAUCAUUGUCCGUAUUGCCCAAAGAUAGAUAUGUUAUUAUUCUAUUUUUUCAUGAUAUAUUCAUCUUUUGUCUUAGAUUAAAAAUAAAACUGUAAAAGAACCCAAAGUCAUCGCCCCCUAUCCUCUCAGCCCCAGUUAAAAAAAUAUCAAUAUGUAGAUCAAUUUAACAAUCACACUGUACAGUAUGCACCAAUUUACUCAAUGUUCGAAAUAAUAUGAAUGGUACUACAUUUUACUGCAUAAC